GAUGCUGUUUGGACCCUGGAAAAUUCCAGAAGAAAUGCUGCCGCCUGGAAAAGAAGCACAAAGCUAGUUUAAGAGCGUACUUCGUGCUGAAAACGUGCCUAGUGCCACUUCACCUUUGACCUUGACCGAGAACGUCAAUUUCACACUGCGGUGGCAAAAUCAGGACUGCGGGCCGAAGAGGGGUGUGUGACUGCGAUCCGACGCUCAGAUCCCGUCUCUCACACACACACACACUCCUCCGAUGGCCGGCGUGUUGUGGAAGGGAACGGAGAAAGGUUCUGACCUCCUGAGAGAACGAGAGAGACGCCUGACGCCAGAGCCCAGACCGCGGAUAAUGGGGAACAGGUGAUGGGCACAUAUCGUACUGAAACACAGAUGAGAUGAGGCUGUGCCACUGACCGUGUGUGGAGUAACUGUACAGCGCCUGACCGGGUGCCGUCCCGCCGAAGUUGGACGUGUAUCCCAGCAAACUGCUCUGUCCCGGUGAAUGACUCAAACCAUCCUCUGUUUUAAUAUCUGAUCAGAAAACAGAAGGAGCUGUCCUGCGGGUCACACUGAUGUUUCAUCACACCUGCUCUGCUGACACACCACUCCUAACAAAACCUUUCCCAAGAAAACAAACACGUCCAGAGAGAGAGAGAGAGAGACGUCUGACACGGGCCGCCCAGUGCAGUCCUGACUUCCUGUGAUGCGCAGUGUGUUUCCUGGUAUGAGUGUGUCCCGGAGUGAGAGGGCAUGGGAAAGAACGCUCUUCCCCCGUUCACAGUGGUAAACUGAGCUAAAACAAACCCCGGACGGGGCACGGCGCUUCACCUGGCCUCGCCGCUGUUCUGCUAGCGCUGGCGUCUUCACGGCUAUCGUAUUCCACACAACGCCUUACAUCAUGCAUCACGUGCCAGAAACAUGUCCAGAAAAUACUGCAAAGAAAAGUGUAAAACGGAUUAGCGCGGACAACGGAAAGGCCUCCUCUCGGAGUAACACCAAGCUAUCAGUUUCCCCAUCCUGCAGAUAGACUUUUAAUUUAUGGGCUUCUGUUAUUAAAAAGCCCAGCCCGAGCUCGACCGCGUGUUCCUGGCCACCAUGUUUGUGUGUAACACUAACCGCCCGCCAUGGUGGGCUCUGCUUUCCACAUGACAGCCUCCAACAGGAGAAAGCCACCUUUCAUGCCAGCUUGUCUGGAAGGAUCGCCUCUCCCACCCAAAAAAAGCCCCGACUUAUGUGUAAUCGACCCCCUUCGUUCAGACGUUCGCCCCAUCGGUUCCCAAUUUCUCAUCCUACCCAUCCCCCCAUCUCCACCGCCAGGUCUGCCGGACCCUUCACCCCUGGAGCGCUGCCCCGAGACGUGGGUCAUGGAUGGGGACAGCUGGUGGACCUCCCAGAAUCAUUCUUCUGAGGGACUCUGUUCAGCGUUUGAUUGGCACCUGUUCCGGCCUGUUGAAACGAACAGCCCCCAGAUGAUUUAUGAUUAACCCGGGCCACGAGCAGUCUGAGCGCUUUACGACAGAUCAGGACUGUGUGAAAGUGCGAGUGUGUGUCUUUCACAGCGCGUCUCAUCUCUUUUCCCCGGCCCAACCCCAGAGGGUUUCUUGGCAAAUCUGAGCACAAAUUGAGAAAUCAUAAAGAAUUCCUCUGAAACUCCAGAUGAGACAGCUGAGAAGCGGAAGAUAAAAUCUAGAUUCAGUUGAGGUAUCAAACGAGAUUUCUUUAUUCAGGCUCUCAUAUUAUCCUAUACAGAAUGCUCAGUUUUGUGUUUUGGAUCAAUUCUAAUGCGCAUUAGGAAGCCUUUCAGUGUGGAGAAACUUGAAAAGGUAAAGAAACACUAUCCUAACUGAAUAGAAAGCAAAGAGAACUCACUCGAAGGUCCCAGUCCUUUCAGCCUCCAUCAAUACUAAAGCGACUCGCGGUGAUCUCUGACACACCGGCCUUAUGGCGUAUCAUUAACCUGACUGCACUAAUAGAAAGACCUGGACACUUAAAACCUUUUAACUAGUCCUGUAAUUAAGUUAGUCUGAUCACAGUACCAUGAAUUAUUGAUAUGUUAUUGGAUUCCAAUAUCAGCUUUGAGAAAUUAUUAAUAAUAGAUUACCCAUCUGGUGGAAAUGGAUGUAAACCUCGACUUCCAUUUGUUAACAACCUCUAAAUACUUCAAUAUGAAUCUAAUCUUAAAAUUAAU